rnacentral:rRNA from 1 species
UACGUAGGUGGCAAGCGUUGUCCGGAUUUAUUGGGCGUAAAGAGCGCGUAGGCGGCUCGGUAAGCCGGAUGUGAAACCUCCAAGCUCAACUUGGAGCGGCCAUUCGGAACUGCUGUGGCUAGAGUCUGGUAGGGGAACACGGAAUUCCUGGUGUAGCGGUGAAAUGCUUAGAUAUCAGGAGGAACACCAGUGGCGAAGGCGGUGUUCUGGGCCAGUACUGACGCUGAGGCGCGAAAGCGUGGGGAGCGAACAGG